UUGGUGUCAAACGCUAACAACCG
rnacentral:siRNA from 1 species